rnacentral:rRNA from 1 species
UCUCCUGGAAACGGGUGGUAAUGCCGGAUGCUCCAGUUGAUCGCAUGGUCUUCUGGGAAAGCUUUCGCGGUAUGGGAUGGGGUCGCGUCCUAUCAGCUUGACGGCGGGGUAACGGCCCACCGUGGCUUCGACGGGUAGCCGGCCUGAGAGGGCGACCGGCCACAUUGGGACUGAGAUACGGCCCAGACUCCUACGGGAGGCAGCAGUGGGGAAUAUUGCACAAUGGGCGCAAGCCUGAUGCAGCGACGCCGCGUGAGGGAUGGAGGCCUUCGGGUUGUAAACCUCUUUUAUCGGGGAGCAAGCGAGAGUGAGUUUACCCGUUGAAUAAGCACCGGCUAACUACGUGCCAGCAGCCGCGGUAAUACGUAGGGUGCAAGCGUUAUCCGGAAUUAUUGGGCGUAAAGGGCUCGUAGGCGGUUCGUCGCGUCCGGUGUGAAAGUCCAUCGCUUAACGGUGGAUCCGCGCCGGGUACGGGCGGGCUUGAGUGCGGUAGGGGAGACUGGAAUUCCCGGUGUAACGGUGGAAUGUGUAGAUAUCGGGAAGAACACCACCCC